rnacentral:misc_RNA from 1 species
GAUGAAGAACGCAGCAAAAUGCGAUAAGUAAUGUGAAUUGCAGAAUUCAGUGAAUCAUCGAAUCUUUGAACGCACAUUGCGCCCGCCAGUAUUCUGGCGGGCAUGCCUGUUCGAGCGUCAUUUCAACCCUCAAGCACAGCUUGGUGUUGGGACUCGCGUUAAUUCGCGUUCCCCAAAUUGAUUGGCGGUCACGUCGAGCUUCCAUAGCGUAGUAGUAAAACCCUCGUUACUGGUAAUCGUCGCGGCCACGCCGUUAAACCCCAACUUCUGAAUGUUGACUCGGAUCAGGUAGGAAUACCCGCUGAACUUAAGCAUAUCAAUAAGCGGAGGA